UUAAAUUGAAGAGUUUGAUCAUGGCUCAGAUUGAACGCUGGCGGCAGGCCUAACACAUGCAAGUCGAACGGUAACAGGAAGCAGCUUGCUGCUUUGCUGACGAGUGGCGGACGGGUGAGUAAUGUCUGGGAAACUGCCUGAUGGAGGGGGAUAACUACUGGAAACGGUGGCUAAUACCGCAUAAUGUCGCAAGACCAAAGAGGGGGA
rnacentral:rRNA from 1 species